CCUACGGGAGGCAGCAGUGAGGAAUAUUGGUCAAUGGGCUUACGCCUGAACCAGCCAAGUCGCGUGAGGGAAGACUGCCCUAUGGGUUGUAAACCUCUUUUGUCAGGGAGCAAUUGGCGCUACGUGUAGCGUUAUCGAGAGUACCUGAAGAAAAAGCAUCGGCUAACUCCGUGCCAGCAGCCGCGGUAAUACGGAGGAUGCGAGCGUUAUCCGGAUUUAGUGGGUUUAAAGGGUGCGUAGGCGGAAUGCCAAGUCAGCGGUAAAAUCGCGGGGCUCAACCUCGCUCCGCCGUUGAAACUGGCGUUCUUGAGUGGGCGAGAAGUAUGCGGAAUGCGUGGUGUAGCGGUGAAAUGCAUAGAUAUCACGCAGAACUCCGAUUGCGAAGGCAGCAUACCGGCGCUCAACUGACGCUGAGGCACGAAAGCGUGGGGAUCGAACAGGAUUAGAUACCCCUGUAGUC
rnacentral:rRNA from 1 species